rnacentral:rRNA from 1 species
UGCUUUUAGUAAAUAGCCGCAGUAUUUUGACUGUGCUAAGGUAGCAUAAUCAUUAGUCUUUUAAUUGAAGGCUGGUAUGAAUGGCGAGACGAGAAAAUAGCUGUCUCUAAUGAAAUUAUUGAAUUUCAUUUCUAAGUGAAAAAGCUUAGAUUAUUUUGGAGGACGAUCAGACCCUUUGGAGCUUUAUCUAAUUUAUUUAUUGAGUUUAUUUGAGAUAACUAACCUAUUUGUUAGAUUUUGUUGGGGCGACAGGGAGUAAAAAAUAUCACUCUUUUUAAAAAACUAAUAUACCUGAAGUAUUGAUCCUUAAAGUGAGAUUAAAAGACUAAGUUACCCUAGGGAUAACAGCGUAAUCUUUUUGGAGAGUUCAUAUCGAUAAAAAGGUUUGCGACCUCGAUGUUGGAUUAAGAAGUUAGCAAGGUGCAGAAGUUUUGCUGGAGAGUCUGUUCGACUUUUAAACUCUUACAU